rnacentral:rRNA from 1 species
GACGAACGCUGGCGGCGUGCCUAAUACAUGCAAGUUGAGCGAUGAAGAUUGGUGCUUGCACCAAUUUGAAGAGCAGCGAACGGGUGAGUAACGCGUGGGGAAUCUGCCUUUGAGCGGGGGACAACAUUUGGAAACGAAUGCUAAUACCGCAUAACAACUUUAAACAUAAGUUUUAAGUUUGAAAGAUGCAAUUGCAUCACUCAAAGAUGAUCCCGCGUUGUAUUAGCUAGUUGGUGAGGUAAAGGCUCACCAAGGCGAUGAUACAUAGCCGACCUGAGAGGGUGAUCGGCCACAUUGGGAGUGAGACACGGCCCAGACUCAUACAGGAGGCAGCAGUAGGGAAUCUUCAGCAAGGGGCGAAAGUCUGACCGAGCAACGCCGCAGGAGUGAAGAAGGUUUUCGGGUCGUAAAACUCGGUUGGUAGGGAAGAACGUUGGUGAGAGUGGAAAGCUCAUCAAGUGACGGUAACUACCCAGAAAGGGACGGCUAACUACGUG